UAGGGAAUCUUCCACAAUGGACGGAAAGUCUGAUGGAGCAACGCCGCGUGAGUGAAGAAGGUUUUCGGAUCGUAAAGCUCUGUUGUUGGUGAAGAAGGAUAGAGGCAGUAACUGGUCUUUAUUUGACGGUAAUCAACCAGAAAGUCACGGCUAACUACGUGCUAG
rnacentral:rRNA from 1 species